GAGCUCUCCGACGGAGGGCAUGAACAGCAAGUGCAAAGGCCCUGCGACUCGAAAGAGCAUGAAAGACUGAGGAAGCGGCCAGUGUGGCUCCAACACAGUGGAGGAGUGGGGGGAUCCUACUGAGAUAGAGGCCCUGUGAUGCAAAACCUGAGUUCCCCAGGGAAGAAUGUGUGCCUUGAAAUGGAGUGUCAAGAGCGCUGCAAGAAUUCCUCAGCUAAUAUUCACAAUCGCCGAAAGGGGGAAACAACCCAAUGUCUAUUGAUUGGUGACCAGAUAAACCAACUGUGGUCCAUCCUGUCCAUGGAAUAUUUGCUCAGCCAUGAAAAGGGAGAAAGCACUGAAACACGCUACAGCUCGGAUGAGCCUGGAAAACGUUAUGUUAAGUGAAGGAAGCCAGCCACAAAAUGCCACAUAUUGAAUGAUAAUUCCAUUUACAUGAGACAGGCACUUACAUGGGGACCCUCGGUGCUAUGAAGGACAUUCCAGACCUCAAGGCAAGCUGGGAAGGAAGGUGUGAACUGCACUUGUGUGAAUGUGCCUCCUAAGCCACAUUCUCUUUUUUUCCCAUAGCCUUGUUCUCCUACCUUCAAAUUCUAUAACGUUUGAGGACGGAAUGACAUAUUUUAGAGAUUCUUCUCUGAAAACUUGCCCCACCCUAGGCCUGAGUGAAGGGCAGCCAUGUUUUUGCCACAUGCCAAGUUCCCUUCUGCCACCCCUGCCCCAGCCACAGGUAACUGGCUCAGGGGUGGACACCAGACUCAGAGACAGCUCAUCCACUGGUGGGUGAUCUGGGCUGACAGAAUGGUUGGACCAGGGGUGAUGGUGGUGGGGGCUGGGCUGGGCAGCCCCAAAGUUUAGGGAUGAGGAGGUCAGAUUUAACUUAUACAAUCCAUGAGGCAGGAGAGAGAACCAGGAAAAGUAGCUAAACAACAGGCCUGUGGACCCAUGAAAGCCAGAGUGAGCAGCUUUUACCCUAGCUUUUCCCAGACUUGGGGAGGCCUGGCAGCCCCUGGUCCUGCCCUUGGCUGUGCCUGAGAUUAAUUGCCACAGCCUUACAACACCCCCUCCCUUCUGCCUUUACUUAGCCAGUUUAAGUAGAUUUUCUGUGCCUUACGGUGAAAUAGCCUUGACGAACUUAAUAGGAACCAAAAUGUCGAAAAACAGUGCAGGAAGGUCCUUGUUGUAUUUGGGAAGAGAGGAGAAUUAUCACACAAUUUUGGACUUUGUUUGGAAAAUGUGUAAAGUAUUUUAAAAACUGAAGGAGUCCCAUUAAAAGAAAAGAGUAAAAAUAUAAA
ensembl:lncRNA FAM83A-AS1 FAM83A antisense RNA 1